rnacentral:misc_RNA from 1 species
ACCAAAGCCAUACUAUAGGCAUGGUGAUAAAAUUAAUCCAGAUGUGUGGUUUGAGCCCAGUGAGGUAUGGGAGGUGAAAGCUGCAGACUUGACAAUUAGCCCUGUUUAUAGUGCUGCACUUGGCAAAGCGGAAAGAGACAAGGGUGUUUCGCUGCGAUUCCCACGACUAGUAAGAGUCCGGACGGACAAGUCUCCAGAGGAAGCCACAACAUCUAAUCAGGUUGCUGAGAUGUAUGAUGCUCAAAAGCCUAAUCAACCAAACAAUAAUCAAGCGAAAAAUCAAGAUGACAGUGAAGAUGAUUGAGGCUAAGAUUUUCUGAUGUUCCAGUCAUUUUUCAGAGAAUCUUAGCCUCAAUCAUCUUCACUGUCA